rnacentral:rRNA from 1 species
UCCGUAGGUGGUUUGUUAAGUCUGUCGUCAAAGAAUGGAGCUUAACUCCAUAAAGGCGGUGGAAACUGAGAGACUAAAGUUCGGUAGGGGUAGCGGGAAUUCCCAGUGUAGCGGUGAAAUGCGUAGAUAUUGGGAAGAACAUCGGUGGCGAAAGCGCGCUACUGGGCCGAAACUGACACUGAGGGACGAAAGCUAGGGUAGCGAAAG